ACAGAGGGUGCGAGCGUUAAUCGGAAUUACUGGGCGUAAAGCGCGCGUAGGUGGCUUGUUAAGUCGGUUGUGAAAGCCCUGGGCUUAACCUGGGAAUUGCAUUCGAUACUGGCAGGCUAGAGUGUGGUAGAGGGAAGUGGAAUUCCGAGUGUAGAGGUGAAAUUCGUAGAUAUUCGGAGGAACACCAGUGGCGAAGGCGGCUCACUGGCUCGGUACUGACGCUGAGGUGCGAAAGCGUGGGGAGCAAACAGGA
rnacentral:rRNA from 1 species